rnacentral:rRNA from 1 species
UACGGAGGAUGCAAGUGUUAUCCGGAAUCACUGGGCGUAAAGCGUCUGUAGGUGGUUCGAAAAGUCCACUGUUAAAAAUUGAGGCUUAACUUCAAAGAUGCCGUGGAAACUUUCAAACUAGAGUAUGGUAGGGGUAGAGGGAAUUUCCAGUGGAGCGGUGAAAUGCGUAGAUAUUGGAAAGACCACCGAUGGCGAAGGCGCUCUACUGGGCCACUACUGACACUGAGAGACGAAAGCUAGGGGAGCAAAUGGG